GAGCCUGACCCAGCACGCCGCGUGAGCGAUGAAGGCCUUCGGGUCGUAAAGCUCUGUUGUUAAGGAAGAACAAGUACGAGAGUAACUGCUCGUACCUUGACGGUACUUAACGAGAAAGCCACGGCUAACUACGUGCCAGCAGCCGCGGUAAUACGUAGGUGGCGAGCGUUAUCCGGAAUUAUUGGGCGUAAAGCGCGCGCAGGCGGUUUCUUAAGUCUGAUGUGAAAGCCCACGGCUCAACCGUGGAAGGUCAUUGGAAACUGGGAAACUUGAGUGCGGAAGAGGAAAGCGGAAUUCCACGUGUAGCGGUGAAAUGCGUAAAGAUGUGGAGGAACACCGUGGCGAAGGCGGCUUUCUGGUCUGUAACUGACGCUCAGGCGCGAAAGCGUGGGGAGCAAACAGGAUUAGAUACCCUGGUAGUCCACGCCGUAAACGAUGACUGCUAAGUGUUAGAGGGUUUCCGCCCUUUANUGCUGAAGUUAACGCAUUAAGC
rnacentral:rRNA from 1 species